GCUCAAUACGAGGGCAUGAUGGAUGAUCGGAAGUGAUUGGAUAAUAUGAGGCUGUCAUGGAUCACACAUAAAACCAACCUGAUCCAGUCGAUUCGAUUAAACAGCUAAAAGAUAGUCAGAAGGGACCAUAUUAGGAUGAGAGCAUGGACAGUCAACCUUGGUCGGUCAUUCAAUGGAUGGAGAGAAAUGCAGCAUUUAAAGGGAUUUAAAACCAGUCUUGAACUUGCUCUCUUCCCUCUAGCAUAUCCACAUCCCAACCAGAGGAACAAAUAUCCAGAGCUAAAACAAAAUACUGCCUUUUGGUCAGAUGACAAGGAAGCUUACAGCAUCGCCAGAGCGAGACUGAAAGCUGGCAUCAACGAGGCAAAGCGGCGGCACCAGGAGAGACCUUAAUCAUGUGGGACACUUCCAGAUGUGAUUGAUAUAGAAAGCUGCUGGGCCUGAUGACGGAUAGCUGACCUGGUAGAGCUGGCACCCCAUGUACCAAGGCUGAGUGCUUGCUGCAGUGGCCCAGGGUUGGAAUCUGACCCCCCCCCCUUUCCUGUCACUCUUCAGCUGUCACUAUCAAUUAAAGGCAAUAAAAACCCUCCAAAAAGCAUGUGCCACUCGGCUAGCUGAUGUCAUUACUGACAUUUCUAACAUGUCACUGUCACAGCCACCAUCGAUCCUGUGCAGUGUCUAAAGGACUACCGCCGUGUGGCACUUGAGAAACUGGUUCUUUACCACAUCAAAGACAACAUCCCAAGCAGCUUGAACCCUUGAAUUCAGAGCCAGCAGAUCAACAACACCUAUGAUUUUUGUGGAUUUCAGCUCAGCAUUCAAUACAACUGCACAGACCUGAUUGGACUUGAGAUAUCAACUCUUCCACUCUAGUUCCUCUCAGGGCUUUGUGCCGUGCCCCCUCCUGUGCAUGCUGUACACCCAUUGCAUCCCAUGGAAUGGAGACACCGCCAUCAUCGGCUGGAUUUCAACAACAUCGGCAAAGAGAAUAUUGGGAAGAAAUCAACAAACUUGCAGAGUGGUGCUCAGAAAACCUACUGCUCAACCAAAACAUGACCAAAGGACACACACCACUGUUUACAUGAGUGGGGUUGCGGUGAAUUGUUUUAGGUUGCUGGGAAUCAGCAGAUAACAUUUCAUCACAGAUGAUUAAAACCACCCAGAACAUCAUUAGUACCCAUCUACAGUUAUUUGUGAGGUGCUGAUGCAGAGCCCAAAGAAUAAACUGUUCGCACUGCUGCCGUCUGGAAACCGAUACAGAAGUAUCUGUUGCCAUAUCACCAGACUACAGAGCAGCUUCUUGCUGUGAGAUUGCUCAAUUGACCCUCCAAACUUCACUGUUUUAUUUUUAUGACUCGUCCAUUCAAAUAAUUUCUUUGUGGCAUUUUGUAAUACAACCCUAUGUUGUAAAGUGAUGAAUAAAUGAACCUUGGAACUUGUAAAUACUACCCAUCCCUGAUUACAGUAUGUCUGAACUGCACACUACAUGGAGUUAAGAACUGCUCUGUUCCAAUGCUGGAUUUUUAAUUAUAAGCGUUGUUACAGUGUAAUUUUUCAUAGGUUUUCUUUCUUCAUGAACAGCCCUGUAUGUUGCCUAUACAGUUAGUUCUUAAGUUAGUCAAACAGUAAGAUAUGUAUACAAGUAGAUAUGAGUACAGUACAAUCCCCCACCACUGACACCUUCAAAAUACACCAUUUACACUACUCACACAUGAAAGAGGAGCACGUGUUUUAAAAGAUUAUAAUCCCUCCUAAACAGAUUCUCUUUACACCCAUUAAAGUGUGUCUUGUAUCCAGACUGUAUCUAUGAUAUGAUUGUUACCUGAUUACAUUUACACCUACUAUUAAUAUGUCCUUUGG